CAAAAUCAGCCCCAAAACUGCCCCGGUCCAAGCCAAUCCUUUCCCAGUUCAAACCAGUCCAAACCAGUCCAAACCAGUCAGUUUCCAGUCCAAACCAGUGCAAACCAGUCCGUUCCCAGUCCGUUCCCAGUUCAAACCAGCCCAAACCAGUCCAUUCCCAGUCCAAACCGGUCCGUUCCCAGUCCAAACCAGUCCAAACCGGUCCGUUCCCAGUUCAAACCAGUCCAAACCGGUUUGGUUGCAGGUUCGGGGCUGGUACCGGUCGCUGCUGUGCCCGCGCUGGCGCCCGUACUCGGAGUUCACCAGUAACACCAGUAACACCAGUAACAACACCAGUCACACCAGUAACACCAGUAUGGGCCGCGCCCGGGGCUCCCUGGCACACCAGUGACACCAGUGACACCAGUGACAGCAGGUGCCGAAAAUUCCAGGAAAAACCAAAAAUUUGGGGAAAUUCGAUGGAAUUUUGGGAAAUUCGAUGGAAUUUUGGGGGGAAUCGUUGGGAUUUUGGGAAAUUCGAUGGAAUUUUGGGAAAUUCGGGAUUUUUACCCAGCUCGGGGAGCUCAGUAAAGAAAAUCGAGUUUGGAUUUGGGGCGAAUUCCUGGGAUUUUGGGCUGAAAUCUCUGAGAUUCAGGGAAUUCCAGGGAUUUCGGGGAUUCCGGGACAUUUUUGGGGUGGAAUUCCAGGGAUUUUGGGGUAAAAUUCCGGGAUUU
rnacentral:lncRNA from 1 species